AGAUGCUGACGUUUGGAAGCUCCUCAGGCUGUUUAGUUCUCCCACAAUAAUAUACCAAAUCAGUGGCUGGAAGGGCAUUCAUAGAAACCAUCCAUCUCAACCUCCAAAUCCCGUCCCACUUGUCCUCAUUAUUAUAUGUAACCCUUAAUCUGAUGAUGAUGAUGAUGUAAUCCCUAAUAUCAAGCCUCUCUUCCAUUAAUUUCCCCCCAAUUUUCUUGCCUUAUCUGCAUGUUCUAAGACACUUUUCUGAGGAGCCUUAAGAAUAGAUUUGACAGACAGCCACAGGCUUAAUGGGCAAUGACUGAAGGAAGAAUUGCUGAAAAAUGUUCUCACAAAGGAAGUGGAAAGGAGGUCUAAACAAAUGAUGGCUUUUCUAGCAGCUGCAAUUGAUUGAUUAUUUUUACUAUGGUCACAGACCAGUCCAUACAAAAUUGUACAACAAAUGAGAAAUAUAAAAAAGUAAAAUAAUGUAACUCUUGUCCAUAAUAAAACCAAGCAAACCACAA